UACAGAGGUCUCAAGCGUUGUUCGGAUUCAUUGGGCGUAAAGGGCUCGUAGGUGGCCAACUAAGUCAGACGUGAAAUCCCUCGGCUUAACCGGGGAACUGCGUCUGAUACUGGAUGGCUUGAGUGUGGGAGAGGGAUGCGGAAUUUCAGGUGUAGCGGUGAAAUGCGUAGAUAUCUGAAGGAACACCAGUGGCGAAAGCGGCUUCCUGGUCCAGUACCGACGUUCAGGCACGAAAGCGUGGGGAGCAAACAGG
rnacentral:rRNA from 1 species